rnacentral:misc_RNA from 1 species
AAGUCGUAACAAGGUUUCCGUAGGUGAACCUGCGGAAGGAUCAUUAUCCAUCUUCAACCAGGUGCGGUCGCGGCCUCUGGGCAACCAGGUGGUUUCGCGCCGCAUUCCUGCAUCCUUUUUUUACGAGCACCUUUCGUUCUCCUUCGGCGGGGCAACCUGCCGCUGGAACUUAACAAAACCUUUUUUGCAUCUAGCAUUACCUGUUCUGAUACAAACAAUCGUUACAACUUUCAACAAUGGAUCUCUUGGCUCUG